rnacentral:lncRNA from 1 species
UUACAUAUAAAUAUGUGUCCUCAUUUAUUUUUUAGAUAAUUCAGGGUAAAGUAAGGGGUCUUAUGUUUCCGAUUUACAAUUGUUUUAUUUUUACUCACAUAUUUCGAUAAUUUUGGAAUUCUAAAUAUUUUCAGGUAUAUAUUGAAGGAUACUUGGUGUAAGCUGUAAAGAAUAUAUUUGGUGUAAGCUGUAAAGUAAAG